rnacentral:tRNA from 1 species
GGUUUAAUAGUUUAAUAAAAAUUUCGAUAUUGUAAAUCGAAGAUGGCAUACCUUAAACUU